GUCUACCGCCAUGCCACCCUGAACAAGCCCAAUCCCAUCUAAUCUUGGAAGCUAAGCAGGGUCGGGCCUGGUUAGUACUUGGAUGGGAGACCACCUAGGAAGACCAGGUGCUACAGGCG
rnacentral:rRNA from 1 species